rnacentral:rRNA from 1 species
UUGUCCUUAGUUACCAGCACGUUAUGGUGGGCACUCUAAGGAGACUGCCGGUGACAAACCGGAGGAAGUGGGGAUGACGUCAAGUCAUCAUGGCCCCUACGGCCUGGGCUACACACGUGCUACAAUGGUCGGUACAAAGGGUUGCCAAGCCGCGAGGUGGAGCUAAUACCCAUAAAACCGAUCGUAGUCCGGAUCGCAGUCUGCAACUCGACUGCGUGAAGUCGGAAUCGCUAGUAAUCGUGAAUCAGAAUGUCACGGUGAAUACGGUUCCCGGGCCUU